UGGUGUACUGGAAUGACAGCUGUGAGA
rnacentral:piRNA from 1 species